UGGAAUAUGGUAAACAGAGCAAAGCUCAGGCAACCAAGGUCCCUUUAGACGCCAGGAAGCACUACCUGACAGUCAGCACCCCGAGGGUGUGGAAUGGGCUUCCCCGGGAGGUGGUUGAGGCCCCAUCAGUGAGGGUGUUCAAGGAUAGGCUGGACGUCCACAUGGUGGGCAUGUUGUGAGUGGA